GUGGGGAAUAUUGGGCAAUGGGCGCAAGCCUGACCCAGCAACGCCGCGUGAAGGAAGAAGGCCCUCGGGUUGUAAACUUCUUUUAACAGGGACGAAACAAAUGACGGUACCUGUUGAAUAAGCCACGGCUAACUACGUGCCAGCAGCCGCGGUAAUACGUAGGUGGCAAGCGUUAUCCGGAUUUACUGGGUGUAAAGGGCGUGUAGGCGGGUCUGCAAGUCAGAUGUGAAAUUUCAGGGCUCAACCCUGAACCUGCAUUUGAAACUGUAGAUCUUGAGUGAUGGAGAGGCAGGCGGAAUUCCGUGUGUAGCGGUGAAAUGCGUAGAUAUACGGAGGAACACCAGUGGCGAAGGCGGCCUGCUGGACAUUAACUGACGCUGAGGCGCGAAAGCGUGGGGAGCAAACAGG
rnacentral:rRNA from 1 species